UCCCACACUUAGACAGUGGAGUUGUCAUGU
rnacentral:piRNA from 1 species